rnacentral:rRNA from 1 species
AGUGACCGAUAGUGAACCAGUACCGUGAGGGAAAGGUGAAAAGCACCCCGGAAGGGGAGUGAAAUAGAACCUGAAACCGUGUGCCUACAACAAGUCAAAGCCCGUUAAUGGGUGAUGGCGUGCCUUUUGUAGAAUGAACCGGCGAGUUACGAUUGCAUGCGAGGUUAAGUUGAAGAGACGGAGCCGCAGCGAAAGCGAGUCUGAAUAGGGCGUUUGAGUAUGUAGUCGUAGACCCGAAACCAUGUGAUCUACCCAUGUCCAGGUUGAAGGUGCGGUAAAACGCACUGGAGGACCGAACCCACGUACGUUGAAAAGUGCGGGGAUGAGGUGUGGGUAGCGGAGAAAUUCCAAACGAACUUGGAGAUAGCUGGUUCUCUCCGAAAUAGCUUUAGGGCUAGCCUCGGAAUUGAGAAUGAUGGAGGUAGAGCACUGUUUGGACUAGGGGCCCAUCUCGGGUUACCGAAUUCAGAUAAACUCCGAAUGCCAUUCAUUCAUAUCCGGGAGUCAGACUGUGAGUGAUAAGAUCCAUAGUCGAAAGGGAAACAGCCCAGACCACCAGCUAAGGUCCCAAAAUAUAUGUUAAGUGGAAAAGGAUGUGGGGUUGCACAGACAACUAGG